rfam:Spinacia oleracea cultivar SynViroflay scaffold25060.con0002.1, whole genome shotgun sequence.
AAGUGGAGAGUUUGUCAAGAUAGCCAAGGAGACUGCCUGACACCAAAUUACGAGGACCCUAAAGCUUAUACUACCCUCGUUUAGAUUCAGUAGCCACGUUGUCAUACAUUUAACAAUGUGACUAUUGAUCAUCCAAAACGGACAGAGUAUAUAUUUAGAUUUAAGACACUCGAAAUUAAAAAGAAGCAGGCAAGUCAUCCUUGGCUACCAAACAAUAAACUCUCUACU